UACGUAGGGUGCAAGCGUUAAUCGGAAUUACUGGGCGUAAAGCGUGCGCAGGCGGUUUUGUAAGUCUGUCGUGAAAUCCCCGGGCUCAACCUGGGAAUUGCGUUGGAGACUGCAAGGCUAGAAUCUGGCAGAGGGGGGUAGAAUUCCACGUGUAGUAGUGAAAUGCGUAGAGAUGUGGAGGAACACCGAUGGCGAAGGCAGCCCCCUGGGUCAAGAUUGACGCUCAUGCACGAAAGCGUGGGGAGCAAACAGG
rnacentral:rRNA from 1 species